rnacentral:rRNA from 1 species
UUGUGUCUUCGAGUCGUUGAUUUCACACUGCCGAGAAAAGCCUCUAGAUAGAAAAUAGGUGCCCGUACCGCAAACCGACACAGGUAGUCAAGAUGAGAAUUCUAAGGUGAGCGAGCGAACUCUCGUUAAGGAACUCGGCAAAAUGACCCCGUAACUUCGGGAGAAGGGGUGCUCUUUAGGGUUAACGCCCAGAAGAGCCGCAGUGAAUAGGCCCAAGCGACUGUUUAUCAAAAACACAGGUCUCUGCUAAACCGUAAGGUGAUGUAUAGGGGCUGACGCCUGCCCGGUGCUGGAAGGUUAAGAGGAGUGGUUAGCUUCUGCGAAGCUACGAAUCGAAGCCCCAGUAAACGGCGGCCGUAACUAUAACGGUCCUAAGGUAGCGAAAUUCCUUGUCGGGUAAGUUCCGACCCGCACGAAAGGCGUAACGAUUUGGGCACUGUCUCAACGAGAGACUCGGUGAAAUCAUAGUACCUGUGAAGAUGCAGGUUACCCGCGACAGGACGGAAAGACCCCGUGGAGCUUUACUGUAGCCUGAUAUUGAAAUUCGGCACAGCUUGUACAGGAUAGGUAGGAGCCUUUGAAACGUGAGCGCUAGCUUACGUGGAGGCGCUGGUGGGAUACUACCCUAGCUGUGUUGGCUUUCUAACCCGCACCACUUAUCGUGGUGGGAGACAGUGUCAGGCGGGCAGUUUGACUGGGGCGGUCGCCUCCUAAAAGGUAACGGAGGCGCUCAAAGGUUCCCUCAGAAUGGUUGGAAAUCAUUCAUAGAGUGUAAAGGCAUAAGGGAGCUUGACUGCGAGACCUACAAGUCGAGCAGGGUCGAAAGACGGACUUAGUGAUCCGGUGGUUCCGCAUGGAAGGGCCAUCGCUCAACGGAUAAAAGCUACCCCGGGGAUAACAGG